CGGUCCUAUCGGCACAAGCCAGAGCACAAGAAGGAGAUUGAUGCCCAAGUUGAAGAGCUUCUCCGAAAGGGCAUUGUUCAAAAAAGCAGUAGUCCCUUCUGCUCCCCAGCUAUCCUCGUCAAGAAGAAGGACGUGACGUGGAGGCUCUUCAUCGACUACAGACACCUCAACACCAUCACUUACAUCGCCAAGUACCCCGUGUCUAUCAUCGAAGAGUUGUUGGACGAGCUGCACGGCGCAGCCUGGUUCUCUAAGCUGGAUCUUCACUCAGGUUAUCACCAGAUUCGCUUGGCAGAAGGCGAAGAAUAUAAGACAGCGUUCCAGACGCACUCAGGCCACUAUGAGUUGUUGGCGGUGUCUUUCGGUUUAGCUGGCGGGCCGACCACAUUCAACGGAGCCCUGACAACCACCCUCAAACCAGUCGACCGCAAGUGUGUGCUCCUCUUUUUCGACGACAUCCUCGUGUUCAGUCAGACUCUACGCGACCACAUCAGCUACCUGCGACAGGUUCUACAACUCUUGCGCCAAGAUCAAUGGCGCGUGAAGAUGUCCAAGUGUGAGUCCGGCCAGCACAGCCUAUCGCACCUUGGGCAUGUCAUCAGCAACCGAGGAGUGUCCACGGAACCAGCCAAGAUACAAGUUGUGUCCAACUGGACGACACCAACUGACAUCAAAGCAGUACGCAGCUUCUUGGGACUCGCCGGAUACUACCGAUGA
rnacentral:rRNA from 1 species